UACAUAUAUGUUAUUUACCGGCUGCGAGGUCCGGAUGAGAAAAACUGUGCCCGAGGUCUUUAAAACGGCCCGAGCCCGAAGGGCAAGGGACGUUUUCAAAACCGAGGGCACAGUUUUUCUCAUCCGGACCGACGCUGCCGGUAAAUAACAUGUUUAUU
rnacentral:miRNA from 1 species